rnacentral:rRNA from 1 species
AGCUCCAAUAGCGUAUAUCAAAGUUGUUGCAGUUAAAAAGCUCGUAGUUGGAUCUCGGGAGCAGGCGUGCGGUCCACCUCGCGGUGGUCACUGCGCGUUCCUGCCCUACUUUUUGCCGGACGUCCCCCGGUGCCCUUCGCUGGGUGCCGGGGGUGGCCGGAACGUUUACUUUGAAAAAAUUAGAGUGUUCAAAGCAGGCAUUUCGCCCUGAAUAAUGGUGCAUGGAAUAAUGGAAUAGGACCUCGGUUCUAUUUUGUUGGUUUCCGGAGCUCGAGGUAAUGAUUAAGAGGGACGGCCGGGGGCAUUUGUAUUGCGGCGUUAGAGGUGAAAUUCUUGGAUCGUCGCAAGACAAACCACAGCGAAAGCAUUUGCCAAGAAUGUUUUCA